rnacentral:rRNA from 1 species
UACAGAGGUCCCAAGCGUUGUUCGGAUUCAUUGGGCGUAAAGGGCACGUAGGCGGCUCGGCAAAUCGGUCGUGGAAUCCCGACGCUUACCGUCGGAACGGCGGCCGAAAAUAACCGGGCUCGAGGGCGUGAGGGGUCACUGGAACUCCUGGUGUAGCGGUGAAAUGCGCAGAUAUCAGGAGGAACACCAAUGGCGAAGGCAGCACUCUGGGACGUGACUGACGCUGAGACGCGAAAGCGUGGGGAGGCAAACAGG